AAGCAAGACCAACGGUUGGUCUGAAAACUUUCAAGUGAUUUGUGCUUUUGGUUAUUUGACAGUGUCUCUUUUUGAU
rnacentral:ncRNA from 1 species